GUUUGAUCAUGGCUCAGGAUGAACGCUAGGGGCAGGCCUUAACACAUAGUCGAGGGGUAGCAGGAUAAAGCUUGCUUUAUUGCUGACGACCGGCGCACGGGUGCGUAACGCGUAUGCGACCUACCUUAUACUGGGGUAUAGCCCGGAGAAAUUCGGAUUAAUCCCCCAUAGUAUUAUGAAUCGCAUGGUUUGAUAAUUAAAGGUUACGGUAUAAGAUGGGCAUGCGUCCCAUUAGCUAGAUGGUGAGGUAACGGCUCACCAUGGCGACGAUGGGUAGGGGGCCUGAGAGGGUGGUCAGCCACACUGGUACUGAGACACGGACAGACUCCUACGUUGAGGCAGCAGUGAGGAAUAUUGGUCAAUGCGCAAGCCUGAACCAGCCAUGCCGCGUGCAGGAAGACGGUCCUAUGG
rnacentral:rRNA from 1 species